GUUUCUUCUCUCUUCAAAACGACAUGGAAAACAAUGUUUAGCUAAAGGCCAAAACCCAAAGCUACCUUCUUGAAAUUUCCAUAAAAUCACCUUUCAACACACUCUGAUUGAAUUUUGUUAGAAAAACCCUUUAAAAUUUCUCUCUCUUUCAUCACCAUUCUUCACUUCCAUUCCAUUUCUGACCCACUUUUUCUAUAUAUAAACAAACUUUCAGUCGGUUUUCACUAUUACAUUUCACCGAUCAUCUAAAUCUCAAAUCAAAAAAAAAUAAUUGGAAUUUUGAUUACCCCUUUCAUUUAUUGUAUAAUAAUAGAAUUCUGGGUUUACAUUUUUUUCUGUAAAUUUUUAUAUAUAUAUAUUUGUGUGCAUUUCCAUGGCGGCUGAUGCACAAGUGUGUGAUGAGACGGCAGUGAUUGAGGUUCCAGCAGUUCAAUCACUGUUAACAAACACUGAUGAUACCAAAUUUUCUGAUGUGGGUUCGGAAGAAUCUGAGUUCAAUUCUGAGAAAAAUGUGAAUUCUGAAUCUGUAGUUAAUGGUGUAAAUGAUUCUUCGGAUGCUAAAUCUGAUUAUAAAAUGCAAGAUAUUGUUGACAUGUUGAAGAAACUCAAGUUGAAUCCACAGGCAAAGGAGUUUGUUCCUUCUUAUUAUAAUCGUGAUCAGAUGUUUCUGAAUAAUUUUGUGCACAAUUUUGUGCCUGUUAUUAAGACUGUGGGAGGUGAUGUUUUCCAAAACAAUGGAAAGAGAGGUAACAGCCAUAACCAGGGCAGAAGAAGAAUGAACAAUAGAGCUUUUAAGGCUCAAAGAGAAGAUAGCAUUAGGAGAACAGUAUAUGUUUCUGACGUCGAUCACAAUAUAACAGAAGAGCGUCUUGCUGCAUUAUUUAGCGCUUAUGGACAAGUUGUUGACUGCAGAGUUUGUGGUGAUCCCCACUCUCGCCUUCGCUUUGCCUUCGUGGAAUUCGCUGACGAAUACUCAGCAAGAGCAUCACUUAGCCUCUGUGGGACAAUAUUAGGGUUCUCCCCUCUGAAGGUCCUACCAUCAAAAACUGCUAUUCUACCCGUGAAUCCUACAUUCCUUCCUAGGUCUGAGGAUGAGCGUGAGAUGUGUGCCAGGACAGUCUACUGCACAAAUAUUGAUAAGAAGCUUUCUCAAGCUGAUGUCAAGAAUUUCUUUGAAACAAGAUGUGGUGAGGUGUCUCGCCUGAGGCUUUUGGGGGAUCAAGUGCACUCUACCCGUAUUGCUUUUGUUGAAUUUGUUAUGACGCCAUUGAGCAGAGCAAGUUCCUAUACAUUAUCAGUGGUAUAUCUGAAGAUGCUAGCCUGCAAAAAGCUGCAGCAUAAUAUCAAAUAUUUUGUUUUGAAGAUGAUCUAAACGGGCGUUGGAAUUAUAGUAAAUUUUACAUGUAAACAGAUACUUGAUAAAUGUGCAGGCUGAGAGUGCAAUUUUAGCAUUGGACUGUUGCGGACAGAUUUUGGGAUCCCAACGCAUCAGAUAACCUUGACAACGGUGGUUGCGGGCUGGACAUACGGCAUGAUGAAAUAGUCAAAGUGCGUGCAAGCUGGACGGAGCACCAGUGAUAUCCCAAGAAAAUAUCGGCUGUGAAGUUUUAGUGAUUAGAGUAACAUAUACAAAAUGGAGAAAAGAAGGUUUGGGGCCCUUUAUUGGAUGAAAGGGAUCAUCGAAGAAAAUACAUGUACCAUUCCUAUACUAGCCAUAAUGUUUUUGCACUAUGCAUUUGACAGAAUUUACCGCUACUGAGUUGGUGAGUCCUUCAAAGACACCUGUGAGGCCACGAGUUCAUCGUCCCAUGAUGCAUUAGCCAAUCCUUUGUUGCUAUCAAGGUCUGGAAAGAGUUGAGCGCAAGCCCUCUUGGAAGACUUGAGUUCACGAUGGGAACUCGAAACAAAUGUCUGUUUCAGUAAUUUCCAUCUUUUUCUUCCCCUCACUUCCUUUCAGCCCGCAAUAACUCUUUAUCACUACUGAAAAUGACUAUUGACCCUGUUUUAGCUAAAGUUUUUAACAGAAUGUCAAAACAUUUUAGUAGUUCCAUACUUUACUUUUAUUAAGCACUUACUGGUUGAUGCUUGAUGGUAUUUGGUUUGAGGCGUGAAGCAAUCUUUGAUAACCAUUUUAAAGAAA